UUAAAUUGAAGAGUUUGAUCAUGGCUCAGAUUGAACGCUGGCGGCAGGCCUAACACAUGCAAGUCGAACGGUAACAGGAAGCAGCUUGCUGCUUCGCUGACGAGUGGCGGACGGGUGAGUAAUGUCUGGGAAACUGCCUGAUGGAGGGGGAUAACUACUGGAAACGGUGGCUAAUACCGCAUAACGUCGCAAGACCAAAGAGGGGGACCUUCGGGCCUCUUGCCAUCAGAUGUGCCCAGAUGGGAUUAGCUAGUUGGUGAGGUAACGGCUCACCAAGGCGACGAUCCCUAGCUGGUCUGAGAGGAUGACCAGCCACACUGGAACUGAGACACGGUCCAGACUCCUACGGGAGGCAGCAGUGGGGAAUAUUGCACAAUGGGCGCAAGCCUGAUGCAGCCAUGCCGCGUGUAUGAAGAAGGCCUUAGGGUUGUAAAGUACUUUCAGC
rnacentral:rRNA from 1 species